UACGUAGGGACCAAGCGUUGUCCGGAAUCAUUGGGCGUAAAGAGCGUGUAGGCGGCUUGUUAAGUCUUGCGUGAAAUCUCGGGGCUCAACCCCGAGCGGUCGUGAGAAACUGGCAGGCUAGAGUGCGGGAGAGGAGAGUGGAAUUCCUGGUGUAGCAGUGAAAUGCGUAGAUAUCAGGAGGAACACCGAUGGCGAAGGCAGGUCUCUGGGCUGACACUGACGCUCAUGCACGAAAGCGUGGGGAGCAAACAGG
rnacentral:rRNA from 1 species